rnacentral:piRNA from 1 species
UCCAUCUGUGUCGGGAAGUACUGCG